rnacentral:rRNA from 1 species
CCUACGGGUGGCAGCAGUGAGGAAUAUUGGUCAAUGGGCGCGAGCCUGAACCAGCCAAGUCGCGUGAAGGAUGACUGCCCUACGGGUUGUAAACUUCUUUUAUCAGGGAAUAAAGUGAGGCACGUGUGCCUUUUUGUAUGUACUUUAUGAAUAAGGAUCGGCUAACUCCGUGCCAGCAGCCGCGGUAAUACGGAGGAUCCGAGCGUUAUCCGGAUUUAUUGGGUUUAAAGGGAGCGUAGAUGGGUUGUUAAGUCAGUUGGGAAAGUUGGCGGCUCAACCCUAAAAUUGCAAUUGAUACUGGCAGUCUUGAGUACAGUUGAGGUAGGCGGAAUGCGUGGUGUAGCGGUGAAAUGCAUAGAUAUCACGAAGAACUCCGAUUGCGAAGGCAGCUUACCAAACCGCCACUGACACUGAUGCUCGAAAGUGUGGGUAUCAAACAGGAUUAGAUACCCUAGUAGUC